rnacentral:rRNA from 1 species
UUGCACAAUGGGCGCAAGCUGAUGCAGCGACGCCGCGUGCGGGAUGACGGCCUUCGGGUUGUAAACCGCUUUUGACAGGGACGAAGCGCAAGUGACUGUACCUGUAGAAUAAGGACCGGCCAACUACGUGCCAGCAGCCGCGGUAAUACGUAGGGUCCGAGCGUUGUCCGGAAUUACUGGGCGUAAAGAGCUUGUAGGCGGUUCGUCGCGUCGUUUGUGAAAACUUGGGGCUCAACCUUAAGCUUGCAGGCGAUACGGGCGGACUAGAGUACUUCAGGGGAGACUGGAAUUCCUGGUGUAGCGGUGAAAUGCGCAGAUAUCAGGAGGAACACCGGUGGCGAAGGCGGGUCUCUGGGAAGUAACUGACGCUGAGAAGCGAAAGCAUGGGUAGCAAACAGGAUUAGAUACCCUGGUAGUCCAUGCCGUAAACGGUGGGUACUAGGUGUGGGGCUCCUUCCACGGACUCCGUGCCGUAGCUAACGCAUUAAGUACCCCGCCUGGGGAGUACGGCCGCAAGGCUAAAACUCAAAGAAAUUGACGGGGGCCCGCACAAGCGGCGGAGCAUGUGGAUUAAUUCGAUGCAACGCGAAGAACCUUACCUGGGUUUGACAUACACCGGAAACCUGCAGAGAUGUAGGCCCCCUUGUGGUCGGUGUACAGGUGGUGCAUGGCUGUCGUCAGCUCGUGUCGUGAGAUGUUGGGUUAAGUCCCGCAACGAGCGCAACCCUUAUCUUAUGUUGCCAGCGCGUAAUGGCGGGGACUCGUGAGAGACUGCCGGGGUCAACUCGGAGGAAGGUGGGGACGACGUCAAGUCAUCAUGCCCCUUAUGUCCAGGGCUUCACACAUGCUACAAUGGCCGGUACAGAGGGCUGCGAUACCGCGAGGUGGAGCGAAUCCCUUAAAGCCGGUCUCAGUUCGGAUCGGGGUCUGCAACUCGACCCCGUGAAGUUGGAGUCGCU